GGUAUGCUAUCGGAUACGACAA
rnacentral:siRNA from 1 species